rnacentral:rRNA from 1 species
GACGAACGCUGGCGGCGUGCUUAACACAUGCAAGUCGAACGGUAAGGCCCUUCGGGGUACGACGAGUGGCGAACGGGUGAGUAACACGUGGGUAAUCUGCCCUGCACUUCGGGAUAAGCCUGGGAAACUGGGUCUAAUACCGGAUAUUCAGCUUCUGCCGCAUGGUGGUGGUUGGAAAGUUUUUCGGUGCAGGAUGAGCCCGCGGCCUAUCAGCUUGUUGGUGGGGUAAUGGCCUACCAAGGCGACGACGGGUAGCCGGCCUGAGAGGGUGAUCGGCCACACUGGGACUGAGACACGGCCCAG